CGCGAACGCACUUCGGUGCAAGUAGAGUGGCGAAAGGGCGAGGAAUACGUACCUAACGUGCCUUCAGGUAAGGGAUAGCUCAUGGAAACGUGUGGUAAUACCUUAUGAUCUCAUUUCUCCGUAUGGUGAUUUGAGCAAAGGCUUGCUGCCUGAAGAUCGGGGUACGUCCUAUCAGCUUGUUGGUGAGGUAGCGGCUCACCAAGGCAAAGACGGGUAGCGGGUGUGAGAGCAUGACCCGCCGCAUCGGGACUGAGACACUGCCCGGACUCCUACGGGAGGCUGCAGUAACGAAUAUUCCGCAAUGCGCGAAAGCGUGACGGAGCAAUGCCGCGUGUGGGAUGAAGCAUCUAGGUGUGUAAACCACUGUCAGGGUUUAGGAAUUUUGACCAGACCCAAAGGAAGAGCCGGCUAACUCUGUGCCAGCAGCCGCGGUAAUACAGAGGGCUCAAGCGUUAAUCGGAAUCACUGGGCUUAAAGGGUCCGCAGGCGGAUUGGAAAGUAUCUUGUGAAAUACCAUCGCUCAACGAUGGAACUGCUCGGUAAACUUCCAAUCUUGAACACGGUAGGGGCCAUCGGAACUCUAGGUGGAGCGGUGAAAUGCGUAGAUAUCUAGAGGAACGCCAGAGGCGAAGGCGGAUGGCUGGGCCGUUGUUGACGCUCAGGGACGAAAGCAUGGGUAGCGAACGGGAUUAGAUACCCCGGUAGUCCAUGCCCUAAACGAUGUGCACUAGGUCGCGGAGGGUUUGACCCCAUCGCGGCUGAAGUUAAAAUAUUAAGUGCACCGCCUGGGGGAGUACGGUCGCAAGGCUAAAACUCAAAGGAAUUGACGGGGGCUCACACAAGCGGUGGAGCAUGUGGGCUUAAUUCGAAGCAACGCGAAGACCCUUAUCCAGGCU
rnacentral:rRNA from 1 species